CACGUAGGGCGCAAGCGUUGUCCGGAAUUAUUGGGCGUAAAGAGCUCGUAGGUGGUUUGUUACGUCCGCUGUGAAAUCCUAGGGCUUAACCCUGGGCUUGCAGUGGAUACGGGCAGACUAGAGGUAGGUAGGGGAGAAUGGAAUUCCUGGUGUAGCGGUGAAAUGCGCAGAUAUCAGGAGGAACACCGGUGGCGAAGGCGGUUCUCUGGGCCUUACCUGACGCUGAGGAGCGAAAGCGUGGGGAGCGAACAGG
rnacentral:rRNA from 1 species